rnacentral:rRNA from 1 species
AUUGAACGCUGGCGGCAGGCCUAACACAUGCAAGUCGAACGGAGCGGCGGACGGGGGAGUAAUGCCUAGGAAUCUGCCUGGGAGUGGGGGAUAACGUCCGGAACCGGGCGCUAAAACUGCAAAAUCUUAGAUGAGCCUAGGUGGGAUUAGCUUGAGGGUGGGGUAAAGGCCGACCAAGGCGACGAUCCGUAACUGGUCUGAGAGGAUGAUCAGUCACACUGGAACUUGGACACGGUCCAGACUCCUACGGGAGGCAGCAGUGGGGAAUAUUGGACAAUGGGCGAAAGCCUGAUGCAGCCAUGCCGCGUGUGCGAAGAAGGUCUUCGGAUUGUAAAGCACUUUAAGUUGGGAGGCGUUACCAACAGAAUAAGCACCGGCUAACUUCGUGCCAGCAGCCGCGGUAAUUC